AGUGGAUCUAUUACAAAGCGUUUAGGUUUUGAAAAUGGUGAAGUUUUUAGAGAACCACUUGUAGAAUUUUUCUAUAAAAAUGAUGCGUUAAAUGAUCCG
rnacentral:sRNA from 1 species